UACAGAGGGUGCAAGCGUUGUUCGGAAUUACUGGGCGUAAAGCGUGCGUAGUCGGUAUUGAGAGUCGCGGGUGAAAUCCCAGGGCUUAACCCUGGAACUGCCUGCGAGACCUCAGUACUAGAGUGUGAGAGGGGAUAGUGGAAUACCCAGUGUAGCGGUGAAAUGCGUAGAGAUUGGGUGGAACACCGGUGGCGAAGGCGGCUAUCUGGCUCACAACUGACGAUCAGGCACGGAAAGCGUGGGGAGCAAACAGG
rnacentral:rRNA from 1 species